GACGAACGCUGGCGGCGUGCCUAACACAUGCAAGUCGAGCGGGAACCUCCUCAGGGGUAACCCUGGAGAGGGGAGAGCGGCGAACGGGUGAGUAACACGUGGGCAACCUGCCCCGGACACCGGGAUAACCCAGGGAAACCUGAGCUAAUACCGGAUACUCCGAUCGGACCGCAUGAUCUGAUCGGGAAAGCUCCGACGGUCCGGGAUGGGCCCGCGGCCCAUCAGCUUGUUGGUGGGGUGAUGGCCUACCAAGGCGUCGACGGGUAGCUGGUCUGAGAGGACGGCCAGCCACACUGGGACUGAGACACGGCCCAGACUCCUACGGGAGGCAGCAGUGAGGAAUAUUGCGCUAAUGCGCGAAAGCGUGACGCAGCGACGCCGCGUGGGGGAUGAAGGCCUUCGGGUCGUAAACCCCUUUCGCCAGGGACGAAGCGAAAGUGACGGUACCUGGAGAAGAAGUCCCGGCUAACUACGUGCCAGCAGCCGCGGUAACACGUAGGGGACGAGCGUUGUCCGGAAUCAUUGGGCGUAAAGCGCGCGUAGGCGGCCCGGAAAGUCGGAUGUGAAAUCCCGGGGCUCAACCCCGGGCCUGCACCCGAUACUCCCGGGCUGGAGGCAGGUAGGGGAGAUCGGAAUUCCUGGUGUAGCGGUGAAAUGCGCAGAUAUCAGGAGGAACACCGGUGGCGAAGGCGGAUCUCUGGGCCUUGCCUGACGCUGAGGCGCGAAAGCUAGGGGAGC
rnacentral:rRNA from 1 species